rnacentral:misc_RNA from 1 species
GUGAAGAACGUAGCGAAAUGCGACAAGUAAUGUGAAUUGCAGAAUUCAGUGAAUCAUCGAAUCUUUGAACGCACAUUGCGCCCGCCAGUAUUCUGGCGGGCAUGCCUGUUCGAGCGUCAUUUCAACCAUCAAGCCCCGGGCUUGUGUUGGGGACCUGCGGCUGCCGCAGGCCCUGAAAUGCAGUGGCGGGCUCGCUGUCACUCCGAGCGUAGUAGUUACAUCUCGCUCUGGGCGUGCUGCGGGUUCCGGCCGUUAAAAGCCUUAUUUACCCAAGGUUGACCUCGGAUCAGGUAGGAAGACCCGCUGAACUUAAGCAUAUCAAUAAGCGGAGGA